UGUAGCUGUUGGCAUGAUGACAGUGUAUAUAAUUUGGAUUAUUUCUUUAUCUUGUCAAGAUCCAUGUCAUGAUUGUAAAUUGUUUAAGCUGUACAUUACUUUGUUUGUUUUUUUGUAGUCAACAUUUUGGUGCUUUUAUUUUGAAAGUCAAGUUCUCUUACAAGUUGCGCUAGUUUCCUGUUUGGGUAGAAAGAAGAAAAACACCUGUAAGCGCGCAGAAAGGAUGGUUUUUAUUGACAGACAUGUUAAGCGGACUUUAACUACACACAGUUAAAGGAAACCUCAGACGAACGGCGGCUAAUUCCCUUUUUGCAGCAUGCAGCCAACGAGGUGCGCACAGGAUCUACUUCAUUUGCUCAGGCAAAUAUUUAUAUCUGUGAGGCAGACCGUGUGAUGAUGAGAGAGCGCAGACAAACGGAGGUGUAGCCGGAGCUUAAACUGAGAGCAAGUCUUUAUUUGGAGGCUCAACAAAAACACAACAAAACAACAACAACGGCGAAACUGAAACGUACUAGCAAGACGUAAACCAGGAGCAGCUAAACAAAAGAACACGAGGAACAUGGAAAACAUUACAAAAACCUUACAACCAUGAGCAUGGAGCCUGAGACACGAGGAGGAGGAGGGGACACGGAUGAAACAGCGGGGAUGACAACAAAGACGAUCCGACAGAGAAGAGAGGGAAGCACACACUGUGUGUACACACACAGGGAGACGAGGAAAUGGCAGCUGAGACUAAUCAGACGAGACAACAGGGAAGCAAAACUCAAAGCACUGACUCUUCUCCUCCUUCAUGUUCACAGUGGAUCAUAGAUGCUAUGCAGUAACUUAAACUGGAAAAGAUGAGAUGCUCCGUCAAAGGAUCCACGUCCAGCUUUUACACUAACUGGCAAACAUUUCUGACAUUUACUGACAAAUUGAAAGAUGGACAAUAGCUGCCUCCGUACAACUGUGUGCAUGUAUGUGUCUGUAAAUGUCAAAUUUAUAUAAUCCAUUCUGUGUUUUUUUUUCUUUCUUUUCCUUUAAUUCUGGCAGAUGGGACGGUGGGGUUUCAGUUUAUAAGCAGGGUGUCCCUCUGCUUGUAUGUUUCUUUGUUGUUGUGAUUGUAUAAAAAUCUCUUUCAAUAAAUAGAAUAGAAUAGAA